rfam:Gossypium raimondii Chr10_contig_930, whole genome shotgun sequence.
AUUCCAUGAUGAGGGCAGUUCCAUAGUAAUCCUUUUUACCUUUCCUAUGCCUCAUACAAGGACUCAUCAUCCAUGUGUUGGAAAGUAGUAAUUUCAUUCUGUAACU